UGCUUAGCACAUGCAAGUCGAACGGUCUCUUCGGAGAUAGUGGCGGACGGGUGAGUAACGCGUAAGAAUCUACCUACAGACUCGGGACAACAGUUGGAAACGACUGCUAAUACCGGAUAUGCCUUCGGGUGAAAGAUUUAUCAUCUGUAGAUGAGCUUGCGUCCGAUUAGCUAGAUGGAGUGGUAACGGCACACCAUGGCGACGAUCGGUAACUGGUCUGAGAGGAUGACCAGUCACACUGGGACUGAGACACGGCCCAGACUCCUACGGGAGGCAGCAGUGGGGAAUUUUCCGCAAUGGGCGAAAGCCUGACGGAGCAAUACCGCGUGAGGGACGAAGGUCUGUGGAUUGUAAACCUC
rnacentral:rRNA from 1 species